CCAUACGACCGUACCGCAAACCGACACUGGUGCGCGAGAUGAGUAUUCUAAGGCGCUUGAGAGAACUCAGGAGAAGGAACUCGGCAAAUUGACACCGUAACUUCGGAAGAAGGUGUGCCCUAUUAGUGUGAAGUGAACAACGGAGCAUGAAUGGGUUGCAAAAAAUCGGUGGCUGCGACUGUUUAUUAAAAACACAGCACUCUGCAAACACGAAAGUGGACGUAUAGGGUGUGACGCCUGCCCGGUGCUGGAAGAUUAAAUGAUGGGGUGCAAGCUCUUGAUUGAAGUCCCAGUAAACGGCGGCCGUAACCAUAACGGUCCUAAGGUAGCGAAAUUCCUUGUCGGGUAAGUUCCGACCUGCACGAAUGGCGUAACGAUGGCCACACUGUCUCCUCCUGAGACUCAGCGAAGUUGAAAUGUUUGUGAUGAUGCAAUCUCCCCGCGGAAAGACGGAAAGACCCCAUGAACCUUUACUGUAGCUUUGUAUUGGACUUUGAACAGAUCUGUGUAGGAUAGGUGGGAGGCUUUGAAGCAGGGUCGCUAGAUCUUGUGGAGCCAACGUUGAAAUACCACCCUGGUGUGUUUGAGGUUCUAACCUAGGUCCAUUAUCUGGAUCGGGGACAGUGCAUGGUAGGCAGUUUGACUGGGGCGGUCUCCUCCCAAAGCGUAACGGAGGAGUUCGAAGGUACGCUAGUUACGGUCGUACAUCGUGACGAUAGUGCAAUGGCAUAAGCGUGCUUAACUGCGAGACUGACAAGUCGAGCAGAUGCGAAAGCAGGACAUAGUGAUCCGGUGGUUCUGUAUGGAAGGGCCAUCGCUCAACGGAUAAAAGGUACUCUGGGGAUAACAGGCUGAUACCGCCCAAGAGUUCAUAUCGACGGCGGUGUUUGGCACCUCGAUGUCGGCUCAUCUCAUCCUGGGGCUGUAGCCGGUCCCAAGGGUAUGGCUGUUCGCCAUUUAAAGAGGUACGUGAGCUGGGUUUAAAACGUCGUGAGACAGUUUGGUCCCUAUCUUCCGUGGGCGCUGCAGAUUUGAGGAAGCCUGCUCCUAGUACGAGAGGACCGGAGUGGACACACCUCUGGUGUAUCGGUUGUCACGCCAGUGGCAUUGCCGAGUAGCUAAGUGUGGAGGAGAUAACCGCUGAAAGCAUCUAAGCGGGAAACUCGUUUCAAGAUGAGAUCUGCCGGGGCCUUGAGCCCCCUGAAGAGUCGUUCAAGACCAGGACGUUGAUAGGUCAGGUGUGGAAUC
rnacentral:rRNA from 1 species